rnacentral:rRNA from 1 species
GCUGGCGGUAUGCUUUACACAUGCAAGUCGAACGGCAGCAUAGGUGCUUGCACCUGAUGGCGAGUGGCGAACGGGUGAGUAAUGCAUCGGAACGUGCCCAGUCGUGGGGGAUAACGCAGCGAAAGCUGUGCUAAUACCGCAUACGAUCUAUGGAUGAAAGCGGGGGACCUUCGGGCCUCGCGCGAUUGGAGCGGCCGAUGUUAGAUUAGGUAGUUGGUGGGGUAAAGGCUCACCAAGCCGACGAUCUAUAGCUGGUCUGAGAGGACGACCAGCCACACUGGAACUGAGACACGGUCCAGACUCCUACGGGAGGCAGCAGUGGGGAAUUUUGGACAAUGGGCGAAAGCCUGAUCCAGCAAUACCGCGUGCAGGAAGAAGGCCCUCGGGUUGUAAACUGCUUUUGUACGGAACGAAACGGCGCGCUCUAAUAAGGUGCGCUAAUGACGGUACCGUAAGAAUAAGCACCGGCUAACUACGUGCCAGCAGCCGCGGUAAUACGUAGGGUGCAAGCGUUAAUCGGAAUUACUGGGCGUAAAGCGUGCGCAGGCGGUUUUGUAAGACAGGCGUGAAAUCCCCGGGCUUAACCUGGGAAUUGCGCUUGUGACUGCAAGGCUAGAGUACGGUAGAGGGGGGUAGAAUUCCGCGUGUAGCAGUGAAAUGCGUAGAUAUGCGGAGGAACACCGAUGGCGAAGGCAGCCCCCUGGACCUGUACUGACGCUCAUGCACGAAAGCGUGG